rnacentral:rRNA from 1 species
UACGAAGGGGGCUAGCGUUGCUCGGAAUGACUGGGCGUAAAGGGCGCGUAGGCGGCGAUCACAGUCAGAUGUGAAAUUCCUGGGCUUAACCUGGGGGCUGCAUUUGAUACGUGGUUGCUUGAGUGGGGAAGAGGGUCGUGGAAUUCCCAGUGUAGAGGUGAAAUUCGUAGAUAUUGGGAAGAACACCAGUGGCGAAGGCGACUGACUGGACAAGUAUUGACGCUGAGGUGCGAAAGCGUGGGGAGCAAACAGG